rnacentral:rRNA from 1 species
GACGAACGCUGGCGGCGUGCUUAACACAUGCAAGUCGAACGGAAAGGCCCUGCUUUUGUGGGUUGCUCGAGUGGCGAACGGGUGAGUAACACGUGAGUAACCUGCCCUUGACUUUUGGAUAACUUCAGGAAACUGGGGCUAAUACCGGAUAGGAGCUCCUGCUGCAUGGUGGUGGUUGGAAUGUUUCGGCGGUUGGGGAUGGACUCGCGGCUUAUCAGCUUGUUGGUGGGGUAGUGGCUUACCAAGGCUUUGACGGGUAGCCGGCCUGAGAGGGUGACCGGCAACAUUGGGACUGAGAUACGGCCCAGACGCCGAGGGGAGGAAGAAGGGGGGAAUAUUGCAAAAGGGGGGGAAGCCGGAUGCAGCAACGCCGCGUGCGGGAUGACGGCCUUCGGGUUGUAAACCGCUUUCGCCUGUGACGAAGCGGGAGUGACGGUAAUGGGAAAAGAAGCACCGGCUAACUACGUG